rnacentral:rRNA from 1 species
UACGGAGGGUGCAAGCGUUGUCCGGAUUUAUUGGGUUUAAAGGGUGCGUAGGCGGCCUUGUAAGUCAGUGGUGAAAGCCUCCAGCUCAACUGGAGAACUGCCAUUGAUACUGCAAGGCUUGAGUACAGACGAGGUUGGCGGAAUUGAUUGUGUAGCGGUGAAAUGCAUAGAUACAAUCAAGAACUCCGAUUGCGUAGGCAGCUAACUAGGCUGUAACUGACGCUGAGGCACGAAAGCGUGGGGAGCGAACAGG